AGUUGAAGGGGUUGGAUCUUCAAGACCAUCAAAUUUCUUUUGUCUCACUUGUUACCUCUGCUCUUUCUCUAGUUUGCUUACCAUUGUAACCAACGGCAGAGGGACCGGCUCUUUGCUGAAGCAUUCUUCGACAAUCUGAUUGGAAGGGAUUCUCAAGGAGCAUCCAUGAAGACGAAUCAACACUCCGAACACUAUCAAUUGAUUUACAAGGAGACCCUGUUGAUAUAGAAAAGGCAAUGAACACAAAAUUUGGUCGGAGAUCGAGUAACCAUACCUAUAGGCUGCACAAACAAUUCAUGGAGCUGAAGGAAGCUAAAGAGGAGGAGUAUGCAAAAUAUCACCCACUAAAGGAUGUCGAUCCUACCAAGUGGAUAGAUCUUAUUGAUAAAAAGUGAACACUAGAGAUUUUUUGGAACAAUCAAAAGCCAACAUCGCAAACAACGAAAAGAUGAAUACAAAACAUAGGUGUGGUUCUAGGUCAAUCCCUGUUAGAGCAGAAAAAUUGGAAAAUAUGAUACAGACAUAGGCUUAUCACCUCUCACAACUGGGAUCAAUCCCUUUGACUGCAGAAGAGUUGUCAAUCAAAGUCCUAAAGCCAAGGUAUGGCUACAUGAAGGGACUUAGCAUGAGACCUUCAUCCUCUAUUAGGAGGACCACUACCAUAUAUGUUGAAACAAAUGAUUAUGUGAAAUGCCUUGAGAUGCAAAUAGAGACACAGAAGGAACAAAUACAAAUGUAGAACAAUAAAAUAGAAGAUCUUGAAGAGGGUAGGAAGAAGCAAGGGGAGAUAAUGGCAGAUGUCAUAAACUUUCUAAGGAGCAAAGGAUUCACUGGACACUUUGGAAGUGGAGGGGACUCAUCCACAAGUGGACAUACUUCUUGAUUGGAUUAGGGUGCCAUUUUUGACAUGCAACAAUGAUCUAAUUUGCUUGAAUGUUCAUUUUUGUUUGAUAAGGAUACACAUACUUUGUCGAGUUGCACUAGUUAUUGUUGGAUGUUUGGUGGAAUUGCACUAGUUAUAACUGUUGGAUAUUUUGUAGAUAUUGCACUAUUUUAUUGUAUUAGGAUGAAAUUAUUUGUA